rnacentral:lncRNA from 1 species
CUUAUGUCACAGAAUCAAGCCCCUGAAGCUGCCACAAGGUCUCCCAACAGAGGAAGACAUGUCCAGCACGUGCCUCAAGAGCACUGGAGAGCUGGUGGUGGGGUGGCUUCAGAACCCCAGGGACCAGGAAGUGAACAAGUCCUGAUGGCCUCAUGGCGUCAGAGUAUAAAGUGCAAGUCAUUUCUAUUUAAAGAUGUUGGUCAAUGUAUCCUGUCCAAAGACUUCAAUGCUGCUGUGCAGCCGUUGGCACAUCAGAUGACUCAACAACUCAUCCUACAACUAGCCCUAGUCCAACAAAGACUAUGCCCUCUGGACAUCCUCCUGGUCUUAACUGACAAAAUCUUGACCAGUGAAAAUCUGGACUUCGUGGAUUAAUGCCUUGUGGUCUGACUUCGUCUGCCCUUGGCUGAAGAGAGGCACUAGAGAAGAGCAGCUCUGACAGCUAGGAGGAGCUGGCCUGGAAAGCAUUGGUGUGUCUAGGAGCCGGCCCAGCACUGACAGGUGUUUCCUACUGAACGUCAGCAAUUUCACAGGUCACCAACAUCAGAUGAAGCUGCUCUGUGACUGAUGGAUCAAGGCGAAAACAACCUCACUCCGUAAUCACAUCUGAGCGCAGACGAAAACACAAGCAUUGUUCAAGCCGGAAAAAUGAGGCGUAUCCCCUACUCCGGGUCAUGUAGGGCUGCUCCUCGUCACACAGCUUUAGCCUCGCUUCAUUCCUCUCACCUCCUAGAUGAGAUUCAUGAAGACACCGAUCAUAGAGCCAUCUCUCUUUUCCUGACAGCAUCCAAUCCAGAGCAAACCGUGCUUCUUUGAACACUCAUCAAAUUCAUCUAAUAAGAGCCCAGAUCCUUUAAAGUCCUUCCCAAAGGACUUUUCCUGAGAUGCAAUAAAGGGAACUUCUCCAGCUCCAGGUGUGUCUGGCGGUCUGUGGCCAGCCUGCACUACCGAUACUAAUUCUUGUGGCUCUCGGGUCUAAGCUGCUAAGGAUCGUUCAACUCGGCCUCGACUUCCUUAGAGUGUCUCUUUGCUCCUUCCUUCACCACAGGUGGCCCAGCCUGCUGGUUUCCCAGCCUGGAGAGCUUGCCAGAAAAAAACUCAAGUGGCGCCAGUCCUGCUUUCUCUUCUGUGCAGGAGGUCCAUCACUUCCCUGCUUUCUGUGUUCCUUUUUCCCAGGAAGGCUUGUACAGUUCCAGGGCCUCAGGACAGCUUGGCCUGACAUCUCAGGGGAAUCUCUAGGGAAGAGAAUGUGGGAUAAAGCCUUGGGGGUGAGAAAUGGGGUGCGGGAGACAGGACAGGAGAAACCGUGAGGUGCCGCUACCCCUGCCAGGACACAUUGCCCCUGUUCCGCCCUAACUGAGGCUUGUACCCUGUCCCCUGCAGCCCCAGGGAGUCCCGGGCAAGCUCCUUGAUAACGGCAACUGUCAGCAAUUGUGUGUCGUUAUCCUGGGGCUGUGAGGUGUUUUCAUAUAUGUACAUAUAGGCUGUCUUCCAAAGCUGGCAUUCUGCUAUUUGGGGAGCUUGGAGAAGAUACUGCAUCCUCUGUGCCCACUUCAGCGUUCACGGUCCUCUUUCUGAGCCCCCAUAACCCCAGCCUCCACCUUCUCAGAGGGCACUACAAGGUCUCCCAGCCUCUGCUGGAGCGCCUUCCACAGGCCCAUUUCCCUUCAUUGCAGCCGUCCAGGCUCCCGGCAGGUCUCCCUCACUGUCUCCCUCCUCACCGGCAGGCCCUGCCCCCCACCACACUUUUCCACCGCCUCACUGGCUCUUGUUCUGCUGCCAGGGUCCUCUCUGCCAAGGCCCCUCCAUUCUCACUGGCAUUCCCACCCCCACAGCUGGCCUUACCACUUUGCUCCGGACUCCCCUGGCCACUGUGACCUCAUAAUCGUCACUUGUCCUCUUUCACUCCCACUCAUCCGCACCGGCUUCUUCGUCUUGGCCACCAGGGGCUUCUCUGUCCUUAGACCCACCUCCUCCCUGCUUCCCCCUUGUUCACCAUCAGCCUUGGGCUUCCUUCUGACACAGGAGCCCUUCUGGCCCCUGGACCACAGUCCUAGUGGACCAUCUCCCCAGCUCCCACCAGAGCACGCUCUUGUUCCCCAGCUAGACACCACUUUGUCUCUGGGGGUCUAUUCUGUAACCCCACGUUCAUAGCAGCAUUAUUUAACAAUAGCCAAGACAUGGAAACAACCUAAGUGUCUAUCAAUGGAUGAAUGGAUAAACCAAAUGUAUCAUAGAUAUACAUAUACAUAUAUAUAGACAUACAUUAUAUAUAUAUAUAUUCAAUAUAUAUAUAUUAUUCAGCCAUAAAAAGAUGGAAAUUCUGUCAUUUCCAGCAACAUGAAUGGACCUUGACAGCAUUAUGCUAAGUGAAAUAAGUCAGACAAAGACUAAUACUAUAUGAUCUCACUCAUAUGUGGAAUCUAAAAAGAAACAUAGAAAAAGAGACCAGAUUUGGUGUUACCAUAUGCAAGAGGUGGGGGAGUGGGAAUUGGAUGAAAGUGGUCAAAAGGCCUAAACUUCCAGUUAUAAGACAAAUACUAGGGAAGUAAUGUACAAAGUGAUGACUGUAGUUAACACUGCUGUGUGAUGUAUCUUGAAAGUUGGUAAGAAAGUAGACCCUAAAAAUUCUCAUCACGUUAAAUUCUUUUGUGUGUGUGCAUCCGUAUGAGAUGAUGGAUGUUAACUAAACUUUUUAAUCAUUCCACAAUAUAUGUAAGUCAAAUCAUUA